GACGGAGUUCCCGAGCGGUCAAAGGGGGUGGACUCAAGAUCCUCUGCUAAGGCUUCGCAGGUUCGAAUCCUGCCUCCGUCACCA
rnacentral:tRNA from 4 species